rnacentral:rRNA from 1 species
CUGGAGACAGGUGCUGCAUGGCUGUCGUCAGCUCGUGUCGUGAGAUGUUGGGUUAAGUCCCGCAACGAGCGCAACCCUUGCCUUUAGUUGCCAGCAGUUCGGCUGGGCACUCUAAAGGGACUGCCGGUGUUAAACCGGAGAAGGUGGGGAUGACGUCAAGUCCUCAUGGCCUUUAUGACCAGGGCUACACACGUACUACAAUGGCCGAUACAAAGGGCAGCGACACUGCGAGGUGAAGCCAAUCCCGUAAAAUCGGUCUCAGUCCGGAUUGGAGUCUGCAACUCGACUCCAUGAAGUUGGAAUCGCUAGUAAUCGUGGAUCAGCAUGCCACGGUGAAUACGUUCCCGGGCCUU